AUAGACGAUGACAGUAUAGGAAUAAAUUACCAAUAGUUUCAUAUUCAUUACAAAAAUGCUGCCAAGUGGUGGUCUUGUUUUUCUUCAUCCUUCUGUCGACCCCAGUGCAGAGUAACACAUUGUGGCUCAAGGCCGUCUUUUCACACCUCUCGUAAGUUUUUCUCUAUAUGUGUGCUAGCUAGACUGCGACCUCGUGCGUGCGCACGAGGGGAAUGCGAGCUGCAAGGUAAAAAAAAAAAAUUCAUUGAUAAUAGCGCAGCGUUUGCAUCGAGAAGAAAGAAAAAGCGUGCUUGCUGCUUGCGAGUAUGAGGGUUUUCGCACCCCGGCCGCGUCCAGCUGACAUGGACUACAGGCUUCGAAGCUCGGCAUGUACGGCCGCUUGCUGUAUAAUUGCAGCUAUCGUGUUCUUCACGGUUGUUGCUGGAGCUCUCAGCCUCAGUGCAGCAGGAAAUUUCAGCGUGGAAGCACGUGGUGUCAAGCCCACAGUAAUGAGCGUUUUCGAAGCAGACCGGAUUUUAGGUUUCAACGAUAGCGCGCCUUUUCGAAAAUAAACUCGCUGAAGUGCACUGGA